UUUCCAGACUUUGUCCUGGCUCAGGACGAACGCUGGCGGCGCGCCUAACACAUGCAAGUCGAACGAGAGAGAGGGAGCUUGCUUCCUUGAUCGAGUGGCGAACGGGUGAGUAACGCGUGAGGAACCUGCCUCAAAGAGGGGGACAACAGUUGGAAACGACUGCUAAUACCGCAUAAGCCCACGACCCGGCAUCGGGAAGGGGGAAAAGGAGCAAUCCGCUUUGAGAUGGCCUCGCGUCCGAUUAGCUAGUUGGUGAGGUAACGGCCCACCAAGGCGACGAUCGGUAGCCGGACUGAGAGGUUGGACGGCCACAUUGGGACUGAGACACGGCCCAGACUCCUACGGGAGGCAGCAGUGGGGAAUAUUGCACAAUGGGGGAAACCCUGAUGCAGCGACGCCGCGUGGAGGAAGAAGGUCUUCGGAUUGUAAACUCCUGUUGUUGAGGAAGAUAAUGACGGUACUCAACAAGGAAGUGACGGCUAACUACGUGCCAGCAGCCGCGGUAAAACGUAGGUCACAAGCGUUGUCCGGAAUUACUGGGUGUAAAGGGAGCGCAGGCGGGCGAUCAAGUUGGAAGUGAAAUCCAUGGGCUCAACCCAUGAACUGCUUUCAAAACUGGUCGUCUUGAGUAGUGCAGAGGUAGGCGGAAUUCCCGGUGUAGCGGUGGAAUGCGUAGAUAUCGGGAGGAACACCAGUGGCGAAGGCGGCCUACUGGGCACCAACUGACGCUGAGGCUCGAAAGUGUGGGUAGCAAACAGGAUUAGAUACCCUGGUAGUCCACACCGUAAACGAUGAUUACUAGGUGUUGGAAGAUUGACCCUCUCAGUGCCGCAGUUAACACAAUAAGUAAUCCACCUGGGGAGUACGACCGCAAGGUUGCAACUCAAAUGAAUUGACGGA
rnacentral:rRNA from 1 species